UUGUCCAAGCACUUCUUGAACUCUGGCAGGCUCUGGUGCUGUGACCACUGCCCUGGGGACACUGUUCCAGUGCCCAACCACCCUCUGGGGGAAGAAUCUUUUCCUGAUAUCCAAUGUAAACCCCCCCUGACACAGCCUCAAGCUGUUCCCUCAGGUCCUUUCAAUGGUCACUGCAGAGAAGAGGAGCCUGCCUCUGCUGCUCCCCUCCUCUUGAGAAGACUGCACUGUGGUGAAGCCUCCUCUCAGUCUCCUCUUUUCUUCACGAAGGAGAAGAUCCAAGCUUACUCUGGAGAAAAGAGAAAAAUACUGACUGUUACAUCAUCCUCAAAUCAUCAGAUACCUGUGUUGUGUCAAUUGAGAUCAUGGGAGGAGACCCAAGAGAAAACAUUGCACAUGGAAGAACUUAUCAGAAUCCCUUGAACUCAGGGAAUAAAAGCAGAUUCUAAAAGAAAAUUAAACUACAUCCCAAGUAGAGGCUUCUGAUGGACUUCACUGAGAGUUUCACAGGAAUGGACUUGCACUGCAUGCCUUGGCUUCCCUUCUCCAUCAUGCAUUCCCAAUCAUCAUCUAAUGCACAUGUUUGUCAUUUUCUACUGCAGAUGAGUCCCUUUAGGCUAAACAGUCUUCAAAAUGUACUGGCUGAAAAAGUGAAUUCCAAACUAAGUGUAUUUAGAUGUACAGAGAACAAUUGUUUUUUCCUAUGGAGUUUCUGGGUAUUUAGCAUUGUGGAUCCAUAAUAUCAAAUGUGGGUUGUUUUGUGCAAUUAUAGAACAGCUUGAGUUGGAAGGGACCUUAUAAAGAUCACCUAGUUCCAAUUCAAUUACCAUGGGCAGGGACACCUUCCACUUGAUCAUGCAUGUCAGUGAAAAAAAUCCCUAGUUUAGAGCUGCUUUUAUGUUUUAAUGUUUAUUCCUCUAGGCAAAAUCAGGAAUAGCAUAAUUGUUAAGAUGCAAAUUACUUAAUUUUUUCUACCAGGACUAAUAUGGUUCUUUUUCUGUACUACCUCAAUAACUGAAAGAAUGUAUUUAACAAUUCAGUUUAAGAGGCUUGCUGUAGCUGUUCUCAGUCUAUGAGGCAUGAAGAUAAACCAAAAUAAAAAGUUCUUAAGUCUAGACAAUAAUAUCUAUUCAGUUUAAAUAACUUUUGAAACUUCUUCUAAGUUAAAUCAACAAAUUUAUGCUAUAUAUUUAAGAUCUGUGUGAAUCCAUACGAACCAACAAGAAAAAGGGGAAAGACAGAAAAGUCUCACCCUUAAGAAAGUCAACUUCUUUGUUGCCUUGAGUUGAAUAUUCCACAAGUUAAUCCUCAAAAGAGUUUAUGUUCAUUCUAUAGUUGAAUUAAGAUUCAGCUGAGUUUUGCUUAUAAACAAUCUGCAUUUCUUUAAAUUUUUUCAUUAAAAUUAAAUUAAAAGCUAAAAAUCAGCAUCACUAUUGAAACUCCUGCAGAUUUCCUGGGAAUGUCACCCACUCAGCUGCACUAAAAACCCAUCAAGAAAACUACUUUUCAUAUUAAACCACAAUGACUGAAUAGAUUGAGAUUAGACUGAGCACAGAAACAAAAAUUGAAAAUCCACCUUCUCUGCCCCUUCCAAGAAAGGAUGGAAAUUAUAGAAAUUCUCAGUGGGUAUUCAGUGUCUCCACUUAAACCAGCUCAGCCCUUGGAUACAAUAAUGCACUUUACUGGAUCCAAACAUAGCCUGGCUUUCAGUACAACAGCAGAAGGAUUAAGAGUGAGUCAACACAUUAUUUAUGAUACAGAGCUGCAGAGAACCAAGGCCCUGAAAGAGGUGUUGCUAAACACGCAAGGAUAUGGCAUCUGUUUCCAACAUCUGUUCUCUUAGCAAUGCUCUUGACUUGUCCAUAAACCCUUCUAAGGUCUUGACAUUAAAGUUCCCAUGACAUUUAAACCACAAACAACUUUUUUAAAAGUUAUUUUUUCACAUAGGAAAUAUUUUUACUCCUUAAUUAGCACUUAUCCAAGAUAGGCAGCACUGAUAUUACAGCCAGAAUCACCCUUUCAUUGCAGGCAAUGAACUGGAACAUUGUUGGUGCAGACAGGUUUUUGCAAUGUCAUCCUACUUCAUCUGUCCUUAUUACAAGGGUCAGUUUUAAAGCAUAUUUCUGUUAAAGCAUUUAAGCAACAAUUAUUAAAUAAGAAAAUAAUACAGCAGACAGUUUUAUGGGAAAUCAGAGGAACAUUUAUAUCUAACUAUAAGCAAUUCUGAGAUAAUUCUGUUGGUUUUGGCUUAUGAAGUGUUUUUAAGAGACUAUUAAAAAAUAUCCCCACAAAAGUAGAUGAAAAUGAGCCUACAAAACCAUCAGGACAUAAGAUGAUGCAGUGAACUUAGAUAAAUGUCAGUAUUAUCUGUGUUUGGGUUUUUUUCUUUGCUUCUUUCAGUAGAUGAGUCUCUGUAGCCACGUGCUAUAAUAAAAGAGAAGGGAUUUAAUGCCUACAAGAACAUUCCAUACCCACCUAGUGUGGUGAGAAAUGGGCCAAGUAUGAAAUAGCAGUUUUAGGUCCAUUCUGGUUCCUUCCCCUGCUCCUUUGCUAGGCCUAAGGCAGUCUCUAUACAGUGGAUUACAGAGCACCUUUUUGUUUUCCCAUUCCCCUUCUUUCACAGGAGGCCUACCAGGAAAACUACACUCCUUCAGCCCUCUGCAUUUAAAACCAGAUGCUUUUAAGAGCUCAAAGGCCUUAGUACUCCACUUCAAUUUUUAACAAAGUUCCCCCUGUUUCCCUCUCCUAAGCUGCUUUAAAAAUCUUGCCUCUAGAGUGAGCAUUGCAUGUGUGUUAAUUCUAAUUAUUUUUCUAGCAGGAAAUUAAGCAGUUUUAGGCUUAGGGUUGUAAAAUGCAACCCUCUUCCCAAGAGAAGUAAAACAGACACUCUCAUUCACACUUUUGCCCUUUACAAGUCACACAAUCUUCAAUCACUUCUACAUCUUGCACUCACCACUCCUGUGAAAUAUAAACAGAUGGGUUCUAAAUGAUUUUUCACAGAAAUAGAACUUUCAUUCUCCGAUGACUACCUGCAAUUUAUCCUUUAGAAUGCUGCUCCUGAGAGCUUAAGAGAAAAAGAGCUCAAUAUAUCUAUCCCCCACACACUUUUUCUUAUUCCACAUCUCCCUUAAAAUCAACUGCUUUCUUUAGCUCCUCAUUAGGCUCUCUCCAGUGCUAUCAUCUAAACAGUCCCUCCUUUUUCUAACUUUUUUUAAAAUUAUAUAAAUAUAAACAAUGCCAAAUAAUACCACAAAUUAUAUUGUAGCACAUGUUGUAGAAUACAAUAUUUUAUGCAAAAUACUGUUUGAUCUUUUUAAUGUUUUCUGAAGCAUUAUCUGUAUUUAUCCCACUAUCUAAACCUGUAUCCCACUAUCUAAGCACCUGUAAAACAACAAGUAUGAAUGUUUUGAAGUUAAUAAUUAUUAUAAGAUUCAAAAGAAGUGAGGAAUAUAAUAACAGUAAAGA